UUAUUCCGAUAACGAACGAGACUCCACCCUGCUAAUUAGUGCGCAGAUCAGCUUAUUUGGUUUCUGUUAAGUGUCCGUAAGGGCGCUUUAGAGUCAUUUAAGUCUGUGAUGCUACUUAGAGGCACAGGUGGAUAAGCCAAAACCACAUGAAAAGGAGCAAUAACAGGUCUGUGAUGCCCUUAGAUGUCCGGGGCCGCACGCGUGCUACAAUGAUAGUGAUAGAGAGUCUGCUCGUCUUGCCCGAAAGGGUUGGGUAAACUUUUCAAUCACUAUCAUGACUGGGAUCGGGAUUUGUAAUUAUCUCCCGUGAACCGGGAAUUCCUAGUAAGCCGAGUGUAAGCUUUGCUAAUAUGUCCCUGCCCUUUGUACACACCGCCCGUCGCUACUACCGAUUGAAUGGUUUAGCAAGGCCAAUGGAUUGCUGCUCUGUUUACGAAAGUGGCAGAGUGGUGAGAAGCUGGCCGAACUUGAUCAUUUAGAGGAAGUACAAGUCGA
rnacentral:rRNA from 1 species